CAGGAAAUAGUUUAUAAAAAUAUUAAUUUUGGAGAUUAAAGAUGAGGAUUUCUUCUUUCCUGA
rnacentral:tRNA from 2 species